GUGCUGGUUUAGCUCAGUGGUUACUUCCAACAACAACAAAAAAAACUAUUUUGAUUUCCUGUACCAUUCCUUCCCGGGACUGAACCACCAGGAGCUGUCCAGUGUACUG
ensembl:vault_RNA Vault Vault RNA